CAAACUUGUCAGCAAUGGCAAGUUGAAUUGUAAGAAGUCAGCAGAGGCCAUAGUAGUUCCUUCGGAACGAAGGGC
rnacentral:ncRNA from 1 species